ACUCGGCCUUUUACAUCCGGGAGCGGCCGCGGUAGUUGCGAGUCAGCGUUUGUCUUGUGCGCUAAAAUCAUAGUUGGGACAGAACUUUUUCGCUUAAUCAAAAUGCAGGAAUUCCAAGAGUCUCGCUAUAGUGGUAGGUCAGGAUCAUUUUUGAAAACUUUGAGGCAGGCGAGCCCGAGCGGCCCGAGGCGCUGGUUAGAUGGCGGGGUGACCACGUGGAGCCCUGGAGCCUGAGCCCCAGCCCGCGCGGGCCGGGCGCCCUCGGAGAAAGAUUCAGCGCACCUGUUGACUGCGUGAGGGAGGGCUGUUAGCUGCUCUGUCGGUGAGUAGUGUGUCGCUACGAAUUAGUUCCAGAGCCCUCCGAGACCCGCCGCAGCGAGACCUAGCUGGAACUUGAACUAGAUUGUUCGAUGGGUGAUGGAGAACAUUAAAAAAGAUGCCAAGAAGUCCAAAGUGAUAAGGGUGAAUAAUGGCAGCGUCCUGCAGUGGAUCACCAAACUUAUUGCUGGACAGAAUGGGUGUUUUGAAUGGUGUGGGGUUUUUUUUGAAACUGGUACAAUGUAUUCAGUGUAGCACCUCAAUUUGAAGGUGCUUCUUUGAUGCUAUGAAAUAAAAUGUUUAGUUUUUGUAGGUAAUCAGUGUUCCUUGACUGAAUUGUAGAUGGGAAAGAAAUUUAAAAAUAGUAGUCAGUACCUUCUGCUUGUGGUUUAGCAUAAGUACCUGAGGUUAUUACAGUACUAGGAAAGAACUAAUGUAUGUAAAACUACCAAGUUUCCCCCAAGAGAGUUUUCCUAUGCCAGGCAAAAGAUACUGCAACCACACAAGGUAGAAAGUAAUAAACUUUAUUACACAAAUAUGCACUGAAAA